UACGUAGGGCGCAAGCGUUUGUCCGGAAUUAUUGGGCGUAAAGAGCUCGUAGGCGGUCUGUCGCGUCUGCCGUGAAAACCCGAGGCUUAACCUCGUGGCUUGCGGUGGAUACGGGCAGACUAGAGGUAGGUAGGGGAGAAUGGAAUUCCCGGUGUAGCGGUGAAAUGCGCAGAUAUCGGGAGGAACACCGGUGGCGAAGGCGGUUCUCUGGGCCUUACCUGACGCUGAGGAGCGAAAGCGUGGGGAGCGAACAGG
rnacentral:rRNA from 1 species